GGGUUCUGAUGAGGGCCGCCUUCUGUGUCACACGCUGCAGCCUUCUCACUGUAUCCUCACAAGUGGAAAGAGGGCUCCACCCUCAUGCCUCAUCUCCUUCCAAAAGUCCCACCUCCAGAUGCCAUCACAGCCAGUGUUAGGAUUUCAACCCAUGAAUGUCGAGGGACACAAACAUUCAUUGCUUAACAGUGGCCCUGGGAUGGGGAAACUGAAGAACAGAAGGAUAGCAAGCCAUACCUAAGGUUGCAUAACUCUUCAGUGUCAGAGCUAAGAUCUGAAUCGGCUGUCUGCCCACAAGCCCAGGUGCUGAGUCCCACCCUUCCCAGCUGAGCAACUUGACUUUGAUGAUCCUCCCGCUUUGAAAUCCCAGGACUCUGCUCCCUCUUCACCAGACCCCACCCGCGGGGCAGAGGGUAGCUUCCUUGCCUUCCGGGCUGUCCCCUGCCUCGGAGGACCCCACUGCUGAGUCCCUGUGAGCCAAAUGUGUCUGGCAUGUCCCUGGGGUCCAGCCCUCCCAGCAGGCAGGUACUUACACGAGGCUGAGGGCAAUGGCGCCAGCAAAACCCACAAGUAGAAAGAAGGGCAGGGAGCCCAGGAUGGAAGUGAUGACGAUCAUGCCUCCGCUCCGCCGGCCUGGCCACGUGUCGAUCGUCGAGUAUGGGGUGACUGUGGUGGGAUGCAGCCCGGUUACUUCCCAGACACCGCACCACCCUCACCCUUCUCCCAGGAGGCGGCGGGUGUCUCCCCCGCCCUGGCUGCCGGGGAUCCAGGGAUGACCCUGGGACCCAGUGGGGCGACUUCUCUCAGGUUUUAGGCACAAUUACCUUAUUUUCCCCCACAUUCCACUUUCCAACUUUCUUUUGUGUGUUUCUGGCCACUUCCUCUUUUAACUCUUUCUUCUCUUUUUUUUUUUUUGCAUUAUUUUACGUUAUUGUUUUUGAGACAGAGUCUUGCUCUGUCACCCAGCCAUGAGUGCAGUGGCGCCAUCCUGGCUCACUGCAGCCUCAAACUCCCAGGCUCAAGCCAUCCUCCCACCCCAGCCUCCCAAGCAGCCGGGACUACAGGUGCACGCCACCAUGCCCAGCUAAUUUGUUGUACUUUUUUUUGUAGAGAUGGGGUUUCACCAUGUUGCCCAGUCUGGUCUUGAGCUCUUGGGCUCAAGCAAUCCUCCCACCUCAGCCUCCCAAUGUGUUGGGAUUAUAGGUGUGAGCCACCACCAGAGUGCCCCGGCUUUGCAUAAUUUUAAAUCAUAAACUGACUCAAGUCUUCUGGUGAGAUGGCUGAGAUAUGGAUUACAAGUAAAGAUGAGGCAAAGGGCCCUGGUCUGACGGGGCCAGGUGGACGGUGGCUGUCACUCUUCUGGGGAUGGCCUCACCCUUUGGAACGCUGUGAACAGAUGAUGUAUAGGUCCUACUGCAGCCAGCCACUUGCAGCUACUGUUCCAGGUAGGUCCCCUGGAGACCCCAUUCUGCAGAUCACUCACUGCGCUCAGGGAGCCUGAGUCCCCAGCCAAGGACAUGCAGAAUCCAGGCUCAAGCUGGGCCAGCCUGGUCCUGAGGUGCAUGCUGUCCCCCAGAUGGGCCCCACGGUCCUCCCCCAAAAAAACUGGGCCUUGUGCUUCUGCCUGGGUUCCCCAAAGGAACCCUGCUGCAGAGGCCCAUCAAGAAUUCUUCUUCCCUCUUCUCAGAUGAGGAAACCGAGGUCCAUAACGGCUCACACCGCAGUGAGGGGCAGAGGCGGGGCUUGGGCUCAGGACUCUUAGUCCCAAGGGUUCCAAGGCUGUUUCGGUGAAACCACACUGCGUGGGAAUGCCACGGGAGGGGCGGUAGGGAGUGAGGAUGGGAGGAGCCACCCCAGCCACACACACUGCCAUUCUCACACACCACACACCACACAUACCAACUGACACACACUGCCACACUCUCACACACCACACACCACACAUACCAACUCACACGCCCUGCCACACUCUCACACACCACACAUUGCCACACUCUCACACACCACACACCACACACCACACAUACCAACUCACACACACUGCCACACUCUCACACACCACACACUACACAUACCAACUCCCACACACACACAGUCACACUCAGACACCACACACCAACUCAAACUCUUACACACGCACACACACUGCCACACUCUAACACACCACACAACACACAUUCCAACUCACACACACACUCUCACACUCACACACCACACACAUCACACAACUCAAACUCACACACACACCUGCCACACUCUCACACCACACACACCACACACAUACAAUACACACUCUCACACCACCCACACACCACACACACAUACACCACCCACACCACUCUCACACACACCAGACAUACUCUCACGCUAACCACACACACCACACACACCCUCAUUCACACACACCCCCACCACACACCACAUACACCACCCACACCACACACACUCUCACACUCACACACCACACAUACUCUCACACUAACCACACACACCCUCAUAUUCACACACACAACCCCACCACACACCACAUAUACCAGCAGUCCCCAGCCUUUUUGGCACCAGGGAUCGGUUUUGUGGAAGACAGGUUUUCUGCAGACGGGAGUGGGCUGGGGGUGGUUUCGGGAU
rnacentral:lncRNA from 10 species